rnacentral:lncRNA from 1 species
AAAAAAAAUUCUAUCUUUUUGCUCAUAAGUGUGAUAAAUGGUUGAGAUAUACUGGUCACCUUCCCAAAUAAUAAGCUCUCUUGAAGUGAAAACACAUGUAGUGUGGGGUUAUUGGUUUAUGUCCAUUUCUACAAUAUUGUCAAUCUCAUCAAUCAAUCAAUCAAUCAUUUUGGGAAUUAGAAUUAUGUUAUCAUUGAUGUCAAGGAUCAAAACGACAGCCUCGGAGUAACUGAUAAAGUUGAUGUCAUAAGAUCAAGAAAUCACGGGGUUGAAUUAUGUUAUCAUUGAUGUCAAAGAUCAAAACGAGAGCCUCAGAGUAACUGAUAAAGUUGUUGUCAUGAGACCAAGAAAUCACGGGGUUAAACCUUGGAAACAGCCCCUAGCAAAAAUACAAGAUAAGAUUGUGUACAAUACAUUCUUGUAGUGAGGUCAUUCCCCGAAUCUUGCGCAUAGCGAAAGCUUUAGUGCACUAAUUUUUUUUUAUUUUUUAUUUUUUAUUUUUGAUAUCAAGGAUCAAAACAAAAUGGAUCCUAGGUGAGUCCAAUUCUUGAUUUAUUCAUUUACUUUCAUCAAAAUCUUUUCUUUCUCUAAGGUCACAUGCAUGGUCACUAACUUUUAUAUAUAUUACCCAAAGUUGGAUAAAAAACAAAGCAUCCAUUUCUUCCCACUAUACCUUAUAACUCAAUAUAGAAACUAUGUCCAUUUUGUUAUUAAGAAUAAUAAUUAAUAAAGUACUAUCUCUCUAUAUACUCUAUUUCCCACUCCCAAUAAUUUAUUCUCAUUCUUUCUACUUUAAUUCACAUUCUUCUUUUUUUGUUUUCAUUGUCUUUUGGUGAGUGCAGGGAGUUUCGAGUAGCGAGUAAAGUUCUUGUUACUUAUCAAUAUGAGUUGUGGUACAAUAGAUGGGGUUGUUCCACCUUUAAUAAAAGAUCGAGAGUUCAAUCCUGGAUAUGGAGAAAACUCUAUUGGGAGAGCUGUCACCUUAAUGGGUCUUGCAAUGUGCGAUCUGAAUUAGUCGGAACUACAAUGCGGACACCAAACAUCGGCUGGAAAAUCAAAAAAAAUAAAUAAAAAAAAUCUUGUCACGUAAUCUGAAGGUCAUAG